CCUACGGGAGGCAGCAGUGGGGAAUAUUGCACAAUGGGGGAAACCCUGAUGCAGCGACGCCGCGUGAGUGAAGAAGUAUUUCGGUAUGUAAAGCCCUAUCAGGAGGGAAGAAAAUGACGGUACCUGAUGAAGAAGCCCCGGCUAACUACGUGCCAGCAGCCGCGGUAAUACGUAGGGGGCAAGCGUUAUUCGGAUUUACUGGGCGUAAAGGGUGCGUAGGCGGUAGUAUAAGUCUGGAGUGAAAUGCCGGGGCUUAACCCCGGAACUGCUUUGGAAACUAUGCAGCUAGAGUGCGGGAGAGGUAAGUGGAAUUCCUAGUGUAGCGGUGAAAUGCGUAGAUAUUAGGAGGAACACUAGUGGCGAAGGCGGCUUACUGGACUGUAACUGACGUUGAUGCUCGAAAGCGUGGGGAGCAAACAGGAUUAGAUACCCGAGUAGUC
rnacentral:rRNA from 1 species